rnacentral:rRNA from 1 species
UACGUAGGGUGCGAGCGUUGUCCGGAAUUAUUGGGCGUAAAGAGCUCGUAGGCGGCUACUCAAGUCGGACGUGAAAACUCGGAGCUCAACUCCGAGCCUGCGUUCGAUACUGGAUGGCUAGAGUCUGGUAGGGGGAUCUGGAAUUCCUGGUGUAGCGGUGGAAUGCGCAGAUAUCAGGAGGAACACCGGUGGCGAAGGCGGGAUCCUGGGCCAGUACUGACGCUGAGGAGCGAAAGCGUGGGGAGCAAACAGG